GAGUUUGAUCCUGGCUCAGGACGAACGCUGGCGGCGUGCUUAACACAUGCAAGUCGAACGGAAAGGCCCCGCUCGCGGGGUACUCGAGUGGCGAACGGGUGAGUAACACGUGGGUGAUCUGCCCUGCACUUCGGGAUAAGCCUGGGAAACUGGGUCUAAUACCGGAUAUGACCUCCCUUUAGUGUGGGGGGUGGAAAGAUUUAUCGGUGCAGGAUGAGCCCGCGGCCUAUCAGCUUGUUGGUGGGGUAAUGGCCUACCAAGGCGUCGACGGGUAGCCGGCCUGAGAGGGUGGACGGCCACAUUGGGACUGAGAUACGGCCCAGACUCCUACGGGAGGCAGCAGUGGGGAAUAUUGCACAAUGGGCGGAAGCCUGAUGCAGCGACGCCGCGUGGGGGAUGACGGCCUUCGGGUUGUAAACCUCUUUCGACAGGGACGAAGUGAAAAUGACGGUACCUGUAUAAGAAGCACCGGCUAACUACGUGCCAGCAGCCGCGGUAAUACGUAGGGUGCGAGCGUUGUCCGGAAUUACUGGGCGUAAAGAGCUCGUAGGUGGUUUGUCACGUCGUCUGUGAAAUUCCGGGGCUUAACCUCGGGCGUGCAGGCGAUACGGGCAAUACUUGACUGCUGUAGGGGAGACUGCAGUCCUGGGGUAGCGGUGAAAUGCGCAAAUAUCAGGAGGGACACCAAUGGCGAAGGCAGGUCUUUGGGCAGGUACUGACGGUGAGGAGCGAAAGCAUGGGUAGCGAACAGGAUUAGAUACCCUGGUAGUCCAUGCCGUAAACGGUGGGCGCUAGGUGUAGGGGACUUCCACGUUCUCUGUGCCGUAGCUAACGCAUUAAGCGCCCCGCCUGGGGAGUACGGCCGCAAGGCUAAAACUCAAAGGAAUUGACGGGGGCCCGCACAAGCGGCGGAGCAUGUGGAUUAAUUCGAUGCAACGCGAAGAACCUUACCUGGGCUUGACAUACACCGGACCGGCGUAGAGAUACGUCUUCCCUUGUGGCCGGUGUACAGGUGGUGCAUGGUUGUCGUCAGCUCGUGUCGUGAGAUGUUGGGUUAAGUCCCGCAACGAGCGCAACCCUUGUCUUAUGUUGCCAGCACGUGAUGGUGGGGACUCAUGAGAGACUGCCGGGGUCAACUCGGAGGAAGGUGGGGAUGACGUCAAAUCAUCAUGCCCCUUAUGUCCAGGGCUUCACACAUGCUACAAUGGUCGGUACAGCAGGUCGCGAACUCGUGAGAGUAAGCCAAUCCUUCAAAGCCGGCCUCAGUUCGGAUUGGGGUCUACAACUCGACCGCAUGAAGUCGGAGUCGCUAGUAAUCGCAGAUCAGCAACGCUGCGGUGAAUACGUUCCCGGAGACCUUGUACACGCCGCC
rnacentral:rRNA from 1 species